AAGCUCUCAGUUCAGAUAGAAUGAGGGUCUCCAAAACCCAAUGGCAUAGGUUUAAAUCCUACAGAGCGUG
rnacentral:tRNA from 1 species